rnacentral:rRNA from 1 species
UACGAGUGCCCCAAGCGUUAUCCGGAAUCAUUGGGCGUAAAGGGUGUGUAGGUGGCGAUGUUAGUCUUCUGUUAAAGCCUCGGGCUCAACCCGAGAUCUGCGGAGGAAACGGCAUUGCUUGAGGGUGCGAGGGGUGAAUGGAACUCAUGGAGUAGGGGUGAAAUCCGUUGAUAUCAUGGGGAACACCAAAAGCGAAGGCAAUUCACUGGCGCAUUUCUGACACUGAAACACGAAAGCGUGGGUAGCGAACGGGG